AUUGUUCUUGAUACUACUGCCGGUUUAAGCUGAAGCACAGUAUUUGUGUGGAUUUUACGUCAGUAUAAUUUUUUGCGGUCUAAGAUUAAGUGUAGUUGCAGAAUAAUUCCAGCAGAGGGAGCUGUAUACCGAGGGGUUACGCUAAAGCUUCUUGUCCUUUUACUUAUUACACGCGUAAAGUGUGUUCGUGCGUCAUCCAGGUAAAAAUAGAGGAGCUCCAGGUGUGAGCUCUUAUACAUUAUACAUUAGUUAUUACGUUAAUUUUUAGUCAAAGCCAUGUAGACUAAACUGUUACCGUUGAUCGAAAGAGCAUGGGUCGUAUUCGCUAGUGUUAGCGUGCUAUGCUAGCCUGUGCAAGACACAGUUCAGCUGCACGAGACCACUCAAUGGAAUAUAUAAUAGAGCCCGGAAGAGUGCAUUCAAGUCUGGAGUUGCCACAGCAUGUAGAAUUGCCAAAAGUCACGGGAGCCACAGAGGUGAAGAGGCUUUUAGGAACCAAAUAACUUCUAUGCACGGUUUGAGGUUAACAACACCUUUCAGGCACAGAGGCUUCCACUAUCAUCCAGCGGACGGGUACUUCAGCCGUCUACUUCACCAGCGUCAACCCACUGAAAGCAACGUCCCUGGAGCUGUGGUUAAGGACUGUGCAGAACAACUGAAGGAUGUUUCCACAGACAUCUUUAAUACAUCCUUCAGUUCUACAGGUAUUGUAGUGUGUGCUCUUGCUCAAAUCAUCAGCCAGCUGCUGGUGCCUCCUUUCAUUAAACCGUCAUCAAUCAACUUUAUUUCUAUGUAAAUCAUGGAUAAAUGAAGACUGGGCUGCUGCUUGCUCAGGGUGUGUUUGUCUGAGGGCGCUGCUGGAAAUGAAGCAGAUUGAAGCUGGAUGGGGUGAAGUUUGCACAUUCCACCAGUCGUUGCUCCCAGUGGGUUUGCAGUUAUCAGGCCCACGUCAUUAAAACAUGAACCAGUGAAGAGGGGUGUUGCAUUCCAGAGUUACCCAGCAGAGCGCAGCACAGACCUGCUGAAUGGAACCCGCUAUGACUGCUUUUGGCUUUGCACAGAGAAACACAUUUGACUGUUCCUGCAGUUUUACUCCUUCAUUCAAAGUAUCAUCAUUUAGCAUCAUCCAGAAAUAUACAGUUUCAGAUAUUUUAAAUACAAGUAAAUGUGUAAAAAACUUAAUUGUGAUAUUUGCCUUUCAUAAUUGUAACAAUUUAAUUUUAAUUUGUAAAUCCAAUUUCCAUGAGAGAUUUUCAUAAAAAGUCACACUUUUAACACCAUGAGUUGUAAAAUAAAUAGAAAAUAUAGUGACA
rnacentral:lncRNA from 1 species